UACGUAGGGGGCAAGCGUUGUCCGGAAUCAUUGGGCGUAAAGCGCGUGUAGGCGGCUCGGUAAGUCCGCUGUGAAAGUCCAGGGCUCAACCCUGGGAUGCCGGUCGAUACUGCCGGACUAGAGUUCGGAAGAGGCGAGUGGAAUUCCCGGUGUAGCGGUGAAAUGCGCAGAUAUCGGGAGGAACACCAGUGGCGAAGGCGACUUUCUGGCCUGUUCUUGACGCUGAGGCGCGAAAGCUAGGGGAGCAAACGGG
rnacentral:rRNA from 1 species